GGCCUGGUGGUGUAGUGGUAAUACGCCCGCUUAGAUUAUGUGAAUGUUAGGUAAUCUUAGGGGGAGUGCCUUGUUCGACUCAAGGCCAGGCCA